rnacentral:rRNA from 1 species
GCACCCGCGGUAAUACAGAGGGUGCAAGCGUAAUUCGGAAUUACUGGGCGUAAAGCGCACGCAGGCGGUCUGUCAAGUCGGAUGUGAAAUCCCCGGGCUCAACCUGGGAACUGCAUUCGAAACUGGCAGGCUAGAGUCUUGUAGAGGGGGGUAGAAUUCCAGGUGUAGCGGUGAAAUGCGUAGAGAUCUGGAGGAAUACCGGUGGCGAAGGCGGCCCCCUGACAAAGACUGACGCUCAGGUGCGAAAGCGUGGGGAGCAAACAGGAUUAAGAUACCCUGGUAGUCCACGCCGUAAACGAUGUCGACUUGGAGGUUGUUCCCUUGAGGAGUGGCUUCCGGAGCUAACGCGUUAAGUCGACCGCCUGGGGAGUACGGCCGCAAGGUUAAAACUCAAAUGAAUUGACGGGGGCCCGCACAAGCGGUGGAGCAUGUGGUUUAAUUCGAUGCAACGCGAAGAACCUUACCUACUCUUGACAUCCAGAGAACUUAGCAGAGAUGGUUUGGUGCCUUCGGGAACUCUGAGACAGGUGCUGCAUGGCUGUCGUCAGCUCGUGUUGUGAAAUGUUGGGUUAAGUCCCGCAACGAGCGCAACCCUUAUCCUUUGUUGCCAGCGGUCCGGCCGGGAACUCAAAGGAGACUGCCAGUGAUAAACUGGAGGAAGGUGGGGAUAGACGUCAAGUCAUCAUGGCCUUACGAGUAGGGCUACACACGUGCUACAAUGGCGCAUACAAAGAGAAGCGACCUCGCGAGAGCAAGCGGACCUCAUAAAGUGCGUCGUAGUCCGGAUUGGAGUCUGCAACUCGACUCCAUGAAGUCGGAAUCGCUAGUAAUCGUAGAUCAGAAUGCUACGGUGAAUACGUUCCCGGGCCUUGUACACACCG